rnacentral:lncRNA from 1 species
CAGGAACUCAUACUUAGACAAGGAAAAUGACUUGGAAACCAUCACCAAUAGUUUCGAAAGGGGUAAAAAUCCCCCAAAUUGACCUAAGGAACAUCCAAAAAUGAUACCCGAAACCCCGAAAACCACCCAAAACUGACCUGGAUGAUUUCCUGACAACAAUAAUCGAUUAUAACAUAUGAUAAUCGAUUAUUUAUGUGAACUUUGAAGAAAACAUGACAUUCUGACUAGAAUAAUCGAUUAUCAAGUGAGAUAAUUGAUUAUUCUUAUCAGCAUUUGACAAAAACCUUAUUUUUCUGGUUUUGGUGCAUCUAAGACACUUUAAUGAGUUUCUGACCCUCCCAACUUGAUCUAUAUGAUUAAUUUGACUUGCCUAACUGGUUCUAAGCAUUCUUAAUCCCAUAAUUUAGUGUUUAUGCAUCAAUUUCCCUUCUAAGACUUCCAUUUGAUAAACUUAGGGUGCUAAAUCUGAAUUUACCAAUUAGAAGUUGUUUUGAACUAUUUUAUCACUUCCUACAAGUCACAUAUGACUUACCUAAGUUGUCUAAACUGGCUAGGANUAUCUGUAACCCCUAAUUCUAAUUUUGACUACUCUAGUUCCUCUAAAAUAGCCCAAAACACCAUAAUUCACUUAACUUUCUACUUAGGAUUCUAUCUAACAGGAUUCACUUCAUCCCCUCACCUCAAUUCAACAUUUUCAUCAAACAUAAACCACUUAUGAUCACAAGUUAAAGAAUCACAACUGAGAAAUUAAACAACACAUGAUCACAUACAUACAUAACCUAAAUUCAGUUCAAACAGUAAUACUAUACAUCACCCAAUUUUCCAUACAGGUUAUAUUUCUUACUUCACACCGAAUUUAUUUCAUGCAUGCUGAAUUCACUAAGCAAAUGGUCCAAAAACCCAACUCCCCUUACCUCUAACUCAAGCAGUCAAGCUCAC